AGAUUGAACGCUGGCGGCAUGCCUUACACAUGCAAGUCGAACGGUAACGCGGGGCAACCUGGCGACGAGUGGCGAACGGGUGAGUAAUGCAUCGGAACGUGCCCAGUAGUGGGGGAUAGCCCGGCGAAAGCCGGAUUAAUACCGCAUACGACCUACGGGUGAAAGCGGGGGACUCGCAAGAGCCUCGCGCUAUUGGAGCGGCCGAUGUCAGAUUAGCUAGUUGGUGGGUAAAAGCCUACCAAGGCGACGAUCUGUAGCUGGUCUGAGAGGACGACCAGCCACACUGGGACUGAGACACGGCCCAGACUCCUACGGGAGGCAGCAGUGGGAAUUUGGACAAUGGGCGCAAGCCUGAUCCAGCCAUGCCGCGUGCGGGAAGAAGGCCUCGGUGUAAACGCUUUGUCAGGAAGAAACGCUCUGGAUAAUACCCUGGGUAAUAGACGGUAACCUAGAAGAAAUAAAGACGAACCGGACCUAACUAACGUCGACC
rnacentral:rRNA from 1 species